AUUGAACGCUGGCGGCAUGCUUUACACAUGCAAGUCGAACGGUAACAGCACUUCGGUGGCUGACGAGUGGCGAACGGGUGAGUAAUACAUCGGAACGUGCCUAGUAGUGGGGGCUAACUACUCGAAAGAGUAGCUAAUACCGCAUGAGAUCUAAGGAUGAAAGCAGGGGACCUUCGGGCCUUGCGCUACUAGAGCGGCUGAUGGCAGAUUAGGUAGUUGGUGGGAUAAAAGCUUACCAAGCCGACGAUCUGUAGCUGGUCUGAGAGGACGACCAGCCACACUGGGACUGAGACACGGCCCAGACUCCUACGGGAGGCAGCAGUGGGGAAUUUUGGACAAGGGGCGCAAGCCUGAUCCAGCAAUGCCGCGUGCAGGAUGAAGGCCUUCGGGUUGUAAACUGCUUUUGUACGGAACGAAAAGCCCUCUUCUAAUACAGGAGGGUCAUGACGGUACCGUAAGAAUAAGCACCGGCUAACUACGUG
rnacentral:rRNA from 1 species